AGAGUUUGAUCAUGGCUCAGGACGAACGCUGGCGGCGUGGAUUAGGCAUGCAAGUCGAACGGUAGAUAUCCUUCGGGAUAUUGAGAGUGGCGAACGGGUGAGUAACACGUAGAUGAUCUACCCUCAAAUGGGGGACAACCCAGGGAAACUUGGGCUAAUACCGCAUGAGUGCAGCGCAUAAAGCAUCUUUAGGUGGGUGUUUUAUGCGUUGCAUAAAAGGUGGCCUUCGGGCUGUCGUUUGAGGAUGAGUCUGCGUCCUAUUAGUUAGUUGGUGAGGUAAUGGCUCACCAAGGCGAUGAUAGGUAGGCGGCCUUAACGGGUGGCCGCCCACACUGGGAUUGAGAUACGGCCCAGACUCCUACGGGAGGCAGCAGUCGAGAAUAGUCUACAAUGGACGAAAGUCUGAUAGUGCGACGCCGCGUGAACGAAGAAUCCCUUCGGGGUGUAAAGUUCUUUUAUAUGUGAGCAAUGCUUUUUAUGUGAAUAGCAUGAGAAGAGAGAUAUUAGCAUAUGAAUAAGCAACGGCUAACUCCGUGCCAGCAGCCGCGGUAACACGGGGGUUGCAAGCGUUGUCCGGAAUUACUAGGCGUAAAGGGCAGGUAGGCGGAUCUAUAAGUUUGAUGUUAAAGGCAGCGGCUCACCCGCUGUACGGCGUCGGAUACUGUAGAUCUGGAAUGCGGUUGGGGAAGACAGAAUUCCUGGUGUAGCGGUGGAAUGCGCAGAGAUCAGGAGGAAUACCAAAGGCGAAGGCAGUCUUCUAAGCCGUUAUUGACGCUAAACUGCGAAGGUGUGGGUAUCAAACAGGAUUAGAUACCCUGGUAGUCCACACAGUAAACGAUAAUCACUA
rnacentral:rRNA from 1 species